CCUACGGGAGGCAGCAGUGGGGGAUAUUGCACAAUGGGGGAAACCCUGAUGCAGCGACGCCGCGUGUGGGAAGACGGUCCUCUGGAUUGUAAACCACUGUCCCCAGGGACGAAGAUGACGGUACCUGGGGAGGAAGCUCCGGCUAACUACGUGCCAGCAGCCGCGGUAAUACGUAGGUGGCGAGCGUUGUCCGGAUUUACUGGGCGUAAAGGGAGCGUAGGCGGGCUUUUAAGUGAGAUGUGAAAUACUCGGGCUCAACUUGAGUGCUGCAUUUCAAACUGGAAGUCUAGAGUGCAGGAGAGGAG
rnacentral:rRNA from 1 species